rnacentral:sRNA from 1 species
UUAGGGGGAAGGUGAGAACCUUCGACAAGGUUCGAGUCGAGCGUAGCGAGACAACGCACGUAGUGCGGCCCGAAGGGCGAGUCAUCCUUCCCUCACUAC